AUUGAACGCUGGCGGCAUGCCUUACACAUGCAAGUCGAACGGUAACAGGUCUUCGGAUGCUGACGAGUGGCGAACGGGUGAGUAAUACAUCGGAACGUGCCCGAGAGUGGGGGAUAACGAGGCGAAAGCUUUGCUAAUACCGCAUACGAUCUCAGGAUGAAAGCAGGGGACCGCAAGGCCUUGUGCUCACGGAGCGGCCGAUGGCAGAUUAGGUAGUUGGUGGGAUAAAAGCUUACCAAGCCGACGAUCUGUAGCUGGUCUGAGAGGACGACCAGCCACACUGGGACUGAGACACGGCCCAGACUCCUACGGGAGGCAGCAGUGGGGAAUUUUGGACAAUGGGCGCAAGCCUGAUCCAGCCAUGCCGCGUGCAGGAUGAAGGCCUUCGGGUUGUAAACUGCUUUUGUACGGAACGAAAAGACUCUGGUUAAUACCUGGGGUCCAUGACGGUACCGUAAGAAUAAGCACCGGCUAACUACGUGCCAGCAGCCGCUGUAAAAC
rnacentral:rRNA from 1 species